CUUAAAGCACAGUUUAUUUCACAGUUUAUUUCAAAAUCCCAAACCAACACUGACAGAAAAACAAAGUAUUAAUUCUGUACAAAGUCCUGCACCACGAGGACUGCACUCGGAUCCUGUUUUUGAUACUAUGGACGGGCUUCAAACUGGGACAAAAAGCUGCUCAACCUUUGACUUGAGGUUAGAGAGAACUGCCCCAGCAACACUUUCUAAAAAAGCACAGUAAGUGCAAUAACUUAUUGCAUAAUGGAGACCAUCAAAAGUAAAAAUAUAUGAUUAAUAUACAAAAAAAGCUGCUUAAAACCACAGAAAACAACGCAUUUUUCAGAAUAACAAAAACAAAGUGGCACAUUUAGCAUUAUUCCUGUUAUACUUCAUUGGUUUAGAACUGGAUGUCCAAUAAUCGAAAGAGAAGCAAAAACACAUGAACAAAUAAACGAACAAUAUUAUUUGUACUGUUCACAUUCAAACAAUAUGGCGUCAUUAACUUGAAUUUAAUUGCAUUAAUUCAGUAGUAUCAACAUAGAUGGAGCGGCAGUGGAGAGGAGCACUGAGGAAAAACGUCAAAAUGACAAAAAAUGAAUUGGUGCCAUGGAUUCAUUUUGGCUGCAUGUCAAACACUAGAAACAUAUGGGAGACAAAAGAUGACUAAUUUGAACUGAAGCUGGUUUUGCAGACGGCAUGAUAUACUUUUUUUUUUUUUUUUGCAAUAUUUUCCUUCAUACACGCACAAUUUUGUGUUGGUUGAUUAGAUGAAAUCCUCAUAAAA